UGUGACUUAAAGGAAACACAUCAAUACACAAUACAUAGAGUUAUCAACACUAUCACAUUUAACUUAACUUCAAUCAUGAUCCAAUACCAUAUAAUAUACAUAUUAAGAGCUUAAGAGGAUUUAGACAGAAUUCUUGCAAAGUUAAAUGAAUCAGUCAAUCAAAGAAUUUCGACAAGAUAGCCAUCAUUUCUUGCAAAUCAAAGGACAAUAUAGAUAUAUGAUAUGCACCUUGAGAUCAAAUAGCAUUUGGAUCCGGAAUCGUUUGGAACAGAGACCUCGACGCAAAAAUCUCAAAUGGAAAGCUCUACGAGGCUGUCAAUAACAUCCUCACUCACCUCAGAUAGGGACCCGAAUGAAAAUAAUAAGUAAACCAGAAAUCGACAUGAAAAUCGAAGAGAUUCGAACUCGAAAUGAGAAUGAAAAAAGUAUGUUCGAUCCUUCUGUUCUCACUGUUUUUCAACUCUCCUGUUUUCCCAUUCAUGUUGCCCCUUUUCUAUUUCGAUUUAAAUUCCCUUCUCUUGCUAUUUCUGUUUUGUAUUAGUUCAGAAGAGAGGUGAAAGCUCGUCGUGGGUAUGUGUUUGUUGUUGUGUGAUUGAUUUUUUGGCGAGGGAUCGUGUGGUUGAAAAGGCAGAACGCUGGGAGGAGUAUUUGGGUGUCCUCCGAUCUCAGCUUUUCCAGGCGUCCCUUCCCUAUUUAUUAUUUACUGUAUUCGUAUAUGUGUGUUUGUAUCUGCCUGGAUUUGUUAUGAAGAAAUCACAGCUGCGCAGCCCUCUCUUCUAGGGGUCUCCUUCUGUGUAUAGGCGUACAUGUGUG
rnacentral:lncRNA from 1 species